GUGCCAGCAGCCGCGGUAAUACGUAGGUGGCAAGCGUUGUCCGGAAUUAUUGGGCGUAAAGCGCGCGCAGGCGGUCCUUUAGGUCUGAUGUGAAAGCCCACGGCUCAACCGUGGAGGGUCAUUGGAAACUGGGGGACUUGAGUGCAGAAGAGGAGAGUGGAAUUCCACGUGUAGCGGUGAAAUGCGUAGAGAUGUGGAGGAACACCAGUGGCGAAGGCGACUCUCUGGUCUGUAACUGACGCUGAGGCGCGAAAGCGUGGGGAGCAAACAGGAUUAGAAACCCCUGUAGUCCAAU
rnacentral:rRNA from 1 species